GACAUAGGUGGCAAGCGUUACUCGGAAUUACUAGGCGUAAAGCGCGUGUAGGCGGAUGCUUAAGUCUGUCGUUUAAUCUCCCGGCUCAACCGGGAACGGUCGGCGGAUACUGGGCAUCUGGAGUGGGACAGAGGAAGCUGGAAUUCCCGGUGUAGCGGUGAAAUGCGUAGAUAUCGGGAAGAACACCGGCGGCGAAGGCGGGCUUCUGGGUCCUCACUGACGCUAAGACGCGAAAGCUAGGGGAGCAAACAGGAUUAGAUAACCCUGGUAGUCCC
rnacentral:rRNA from 1 species